rnacentral:rRNA from 1 species
UCCUGCCAGAGGCCAUUGCUAUCAGGGUUUGACUAAGCCAUGCGAGUCGAGAGGUGUAAGACCUCGGCAUACUGCUCAGUAACACGUGGUUAACCUGCCCUAAGGUGGAGAAUACUCCCGGGAAACUGGGGCUAAUGCUCCAUAGUGGAUAUGUCCUGGAAUGGUAUAUCCUCGAAAGAUCCGUCGCCUUAGGAUGGGACUGCGUCCGAUUAGGUUGUUGGCGGGGUAA